CUUGGCUGUGUUCUAGUUCAAGAGACAAGGUACUUGUGAAGAAAAGAUGUUUUUCCCAUGGAGCUGUCAUUGCAGAAACCACCGCACACACGCAUUGACUCACUAAGAAGGAAAAAGUCAGAAGGGGUCAUUCUCCAUUCUCCCGUUUCUAACGUAUAGCCACGUGUGACAGGGAAUGCAAUUUCUUGAAGAGAAUUAGAAUAAGCCUUGAAUAACAGUGUCUCAACUUGAAACAUGCAUGGACAUUCACAAAGGGACCAGUUCUGCUCUAUGAAUUUGUUCAUCAGAAAGAAGCUGAAUCCAGUUUCUGCCUAUUACACACAAAGCUGCUAUGACCAUAGUUGAGCGAGUGUCCCUGUGGUAAGGUGGAGCUUUUUGAGGGUAUAUGUCCAGGAGUGGUAUGGUUGAGGUAGAACUAUUCCCAAUUUUUGAAAAAGUGACCAAAUUGAUUUCCAAAGUGGCUGUACAAGUUUACACUCCCACCAAUAAUGGAAGAGUGUGUCCCUUGCUCCAUAUCUCCCUCAGCAUAAACUGUCACUUGAGAUUUUGAUCUUAGCCAUUCUGACAGGUGUAAGAUGGAACCUCAGAGUCAUUUUGAUUUACGUUUCUCUAGUGACUAAGGAUGUUGAACAACUCUUUGUUUCUCAGCCAUCAGACAUUCCUCUGUUGAGAAUUCUCUGUCUAGCUCUGUACCCCAUGUGAGUCCCCUAAUGGUUACAGUGGGGCUGCCUCUGU